rnacentral:rRNA from 1 species
AUACGUAGGUGGCAAGCGUUGUCCGGAAUUAUUGGGCGUAAAGCGCGCGCAGGUGGUUCCUUAAGUCUGAUGUGAAAGCCCCCGGCUCAACCGGGGAGGGUCAUUGGAAACUGGGGAACUUGAGUGCAGAAGAGGAUAGUGGAGUUCCAAGUGUAGCGGUGAAAUGCGUAGAGAUUUGGAGGAACACCAGUGGCGAAGGCGACUGUCUGGUCUGUAACUGACACUGAGGCGCGAAAGCGUGGGGAGCAAACAGGAUUAGAUACCCUGGUAGUCCACGCCGUAAACGAUGAGUGCUAAGUGUUGGGGGGUUUCCGCCCCUCAGUGCUGCAGCUAACGCAUUAAGCACUCCGCCUGGGGAGUACGGUCGCAAGACUGAAACUCAAAUGAAUUGACGGGG